CCUGUGCAACGAGUGGGGCACAUGGGGUGGAGGGAUGUGGAGGGAUUUCAGAAGCAGACGCGGGAAGAGCCUUGGACAGGAUAUGGGCGUGAGGGAGGGUGGCGGUAUGGGGGAGAGGGAGAGCCCAAUCCACCUCUCUUCUCCCGGAUGCUUCCCUCCCACUAUACCUUGCUGGAGACCUGGGGUCACACACAACACUCGACCCCCGCCGAUGGAGGCCUGACAACCGAGAGGAAUUGCGUAGGGGCUGAGUUGAGAUGUUUUUUAUUGUCGAGUCGUGCUACAGCAGAAUGUUCGUGUCCACCACAAAAUGCCUGUGUUGAAACCCAGUCCCCACUGAGAUGGUUCAGAUGCGGUAAUGAGGAUGGAGGCCCAAGACAGGAUUAGGAUGAAGAUCCCCAGGCUCCCCCUUUCUGCUAGGCAAAGGUGCAGUGUGAAAACAACAAUCUGCAAACCAGGGAGUCACCUUCACCAAGAACAGCCAGCUGGCACCCUGAUCUUGGACUUCAGCCUCCAGAACUGUGAGAAGUAAAUUUUUGUCAAAGCCA